rnacentral:rRNA from 1 species
GGAUUAGAAACCCGGGUAGUCCACGCCGUAAACGAUGUCGACUUGGAGGUUGUGCCCUUGAGGCGUGGCUUCCGGAGCUAACGCGUUAAGUCGACCGCCUGGGGAGUACGGCCGCAAGGUUAAAACUCAAAUGAAUUGACGGGGGCCCGCACAAGCGGUGGAGCAUGUGGUUUAAUUCGAUGCAACGCGAAGAACCUUACCUGGUCUUGACAUCCACGGAAGUUUUCAGAGAUGAGAAUGUGCCUUCGGGAACCGUGAGACAGGUGCUGCAUGGCUGUCGUCAGCUCGUGUUGUGAAAUGUUGGGUUAAGUCCCGCAACGAGCGCAACCCUUAUCCUUUGUUGCCAGCGGUCCGGCCGGGAACUCAAAGG